rnacentral:rRNA from 1 species
UUUGAUAAAAACCUAAAAGGGGCCAAUUCGUGCCCGAACUCAGAAGUUAAGCCCUUUAUCGCCGAUGGUACUGCACGCAAGAGUGUGGGAGAGUAGGGUCGGCCGCCAAGCU